CCCAACAAUCCUUCCAUACACCAAACAUAGUUGACCUGCUGUUUAUAGUACAUGAACAUCUCCCUAAUCACUACAACUUUAAAUCAUGGGAUGCAGUGAAUGUCUAAAUUUUCUCAAAAGUUUUUUAUGUACCGGUAAUAACUACAACAAGAUGAAAUAGAAAUAAAAUAUUCUUAUAAUUUAUUUCAGUUACUCCAUAUAAAAUAGUCACCAAAAUAAAUACAUCUUUCCUGCAGGAUACUGCAAAUGAAUGUUCAGGAAUGUGAAAUUAUUUGAAGUAAUCCAUUUAUUCCUACAGGAAACUAGGAAUAGGCAAACAAAAAAUAUUAUAGAAUGUGCAUAUUAAA
rnacentral:lncRNA from 1 species